CCUUUGGACCUGUGGGUGCUGCUGGUUGAGGUGAUGAUACUUGGGGGUGCUGCAGCCACCUUGCCACGUUGAGUAGACAAAGCUGAGGUCAAGGCCAACCUGCCAAGGAUGCCAAGAGAUGAUGGGAAGAACCAGUUCCCAAGUGGUCACUGACCCACUGAGGUUAUCAACCUGGGUUUGUCUAUUUCUGGACUUUUGGUAAUAUGAGCUAAUAAAUAUCCAAGUGGGUAAGCCUUUUUGAGCUGGGCGUUUUUUCUCAUGGAGGCAGCUUCCUGUUAUAGGGGGCAGUGAAGAAGUCAGAGUUCAUGGCUGAAAGCACAGGAUGCAGACUUAGACAGACCUGAGUUCAGGUCCUUGCUCUGCCACCUACUUGCUGUGUGACCUUGGGCUUAGCUUCUCUGACCUUGAGUUUCUUCAUCUGCCUCCAAAUAAGGGAGAGCCCUGGCAGAAUCAUGGGAGGAACAGCGUGUGGAGCCCUCAGCACAGAGCCCAGCCCAGUGAGCAGUCAAUAAAUGUUAGCUCUCCCAAAGUUGGCAACCAGUCUGAAAGACUUCAUGCCCAGUCUCACAGCAGAGCUCCGUAGCCCAGGAUCUUCCAAGCACACGUUGCUCGUAGCCAUGAAGAAAUAAAAACAACCCAUGUUUGGCCCAAUCUUCUACACAUUAGGGCUUUUGAGCCUUUCCUAGGGAUACCAAUUAUGCAGCAUUUUGUGCUAGGUGGAUCUGGGAUUGUUUUAAGCUCUCUUUCAAAUGAAAGCAACAGUCUUUUUUAAAAAGUAAAAAUAAAAUGGACUCAUCACCCAACAGUAAUGCACAUGUAUGUUCAUCAAAGAAAAUAUAGAGGGAUCCACCGCUGUAUGAUUGGUACCAGCCUGUUAUGGGGUUGAAUUUUGUCCCCCACCCAAAAAGCUGCGGUAAGUCCUGACCCCAGGACCUUGGAAUUGGCCUUAUUUGGAUGGAGGGUCUUUCCAGAAGUAACAAAGCUGAAGUGAGGUCAGUAGGGUAGACCCUAGUCCUCAUCAGAAGGGAGAACUUGGACACAAAGAAACCCACAAAGGGAAGGCGAUGUGAAGACACAGAAAGAAACGCCCACCUACAAGCCACAGAGUGAGGCCUGGAACACGUCCUCCCUCCCCACACAGCCUCAGAGGGAACCAGCCCUGCUGUUGCUAUGAUCUCAGAUUUGCAGCCUCCAGAGCCAUGAGAUAAUACGUGUCCGUGCUUUAAGCCGCCCAGUCUGUGGCACUUUGUUAUGGUAGCCUGAGCAGACUAACACAGGCCCCAGGCUGGACACAACACAAAUGCCCGUCAGGAGGUGCGCAGAUAUUCUUAAGAGGCAGCAGAUACCCACUGGAAUCCCUCGAAGCCUGGCAGCCCCCCACGGAGCAGAGGGGGCCCUGUGCAUGAGGUCUCCUUUUCAGCCUCAAAAUCACCAACUUCUCAUCAUUAAAACUGAGAGAGAGAGAGAGAGAGAGAGAACACCAAAGCCUCACCGUGGAAACACAUGAACACGAAUGAGCAGGCUGUAGCGGAAGCAUGCCAUCUACUGCCAUCUGCUUCUGGUGAGGCCUCAGGGAGCUGCCAAUCAUGGCGGAAGGUGAAGGGGAGCCAGUGCAUCACACGGCAA
rnacentral:lncRNA from 1 species